GCCAGUGUGGUAUAGUGGUUUGACAUUGGACUACGGCUCUGGAGACCAGGGAUCAAAUCCCGGCUCGACCA